GCUGUCGUGUCCGAGUGGUUAAGGAGUCGGAUUCGAAAUCCGAUGGGGUUUCCCGCACAGGUUCGAAUCCUGUCGGCAGCG
rnacentral:tRNA from 1 species